GAAGCAUUUCAGAGGAGCCUCGAAACACCCCAAUAAAUGAAGCCGAGGUGGAUUGCGUCCUACAAAACAAAAGGAAAACAACUAAGAGGAGUUUAAUAAAAUAACAGUCUCGGCAGUGAAGUAAGUCAAGGUGAUUUAUAGUAUAAUGUAAUGCUAAAACCAUCUUUCCAGGACCUUGAGAAAAACUUUGCACUUCAGCUAUGAUGAGAACUAACUGCAAUGU